UUGACGGGGCCCGCACAAGCGGUGGAGCAUGUGGUUUAAUUCGAAGCAACGCGAAGAACCUUACCAGGUCUUGACAUCCCCUGACAACCCGAGAGAUCGGGCGUUCCCCUUCGGGGGACAGGGUGACAGGUAGUGCAUGGUUGUCGUCAGCUCGUGUCGUGAGAUGUUGGGUUAAGUCCCGCAACGAGCGCAACCCUCGGCCUUAGUUGCCAGCAUUCAGUUGGGCACUCUAAGGUGACUGCCGGCUAAAAGUCGGAGGAAGGUGGGGAUGACGUCAAAUCAUCAUGCCCCUUAUGACCUGGGCUACACACGUGCUACAAUGGGCGGUACAAAGGGUCGCGAACCCGCGAGGGGGAGCCAAUCCCAAAAAGCCGCUCUCAGUUCGGAUUGCAGGCUGCAACUCGCCUGCAUGAAGCCGGAAUCGCUAGUAAUCGCGGAUCAGCUACGCCGCGGUGAAUACGUUCUCGGGCCUU
rnacentral:rRNA from 1 species